rnacentral:rRNA from 1 species
GACGAACGCUGGCGGCGUGCUUAACACAUGCAAGUCGAACGGAAAGGCCCUGCUUGCAGGGUACUCGAGUGGCGAACGGGUGAGUAACACGUGGGUGAUCUGCCCUGCACUUCGGGCUAAGCCUGGGAAACUGGGUCUAAUACCGGAUAGGAGCCAUUUUUAUUGUGAUGGUUGGAAAGUUUUUUCGGUGUAGGUUGAGAUCUAGGCCUAGCAGCUUGUUGGUGGGGUAAUGGCCUACCAAGGCGGCGACGGGUAGCCGGCCUGAGAGGGUGGACGGCAACAUUGGGACUGGGAUACGGCCCAGACUCCUACGGGAGGCAGCAGUGGGGAAGAUUGCACAAGGGGCGCAAGCCUGAUGCAGCGACGCCGCGGGGGGGAUGACGGCCUUCGGGUUGUAAACGCCUUUCGCUAGGGACGAAGCUUUUUGUGACGGUACCUAGAUAAGAAGCACCGGCUAACUACGUG